rnacentral:rRNA from 1 species
ACAGCAGUAGCCACGGGAAAACGUAUGUCACAAGCGUUAUCCGGAUUUAUUGGGCGUAAAGCGCGUCUAGGUGGUUAUGUAAGUCUGAUGUGAAAAUGCAGGGCUCAACUCUGUAUUGCGUUGGAAACUGUGUAACUAGAGUACUGGAGAGGUAAGCGGAACUACAAGUGUAGAGGUGAAAUUCGUAGAUAUUUGUAGGAAUGCCGAUGGGGAAGCCAGCUUACUGGACAGAUACUGACGCUAAAGCGCGAAAGCGUGGGUAGCAAACAGGAUUAGAUACCCCAGUAGUCCCUGUCUCUUAUACA